rnacentral:rRNA from 1 species
CAAUAGCGUAUAUUUAAGUUGUUGCAGUUAAAAAGCUCGUAGUUGGAUUUCGGAUGGGACUUACCGGUCCGUCGUUUCGAUGUGCACUGGCCAGUCCUAUCUUGUUGUCGGGGACUAGCUCCUGGGCUUCACUGUCCGGGACUAGGAGCUGACGAGGUUACUUUGAGUAAAUUAGAGUGUUCAAAGCAAGCCUACGCUCUGAAUACAUUAGCAUGGAAUAACACGAUAGGACUCUGGCUUAUCUUGUUGGUCUGUGAGACCAGAGUAAUGAUUAAGAGGGACAGUCGGGGGCAUUCGUAUUUCAUUGUCAGAGGUGAAAUUCUUGGAUUUAUGAAAGACGAACUUCUGCGAAAGCAUUUGUCAAGGAUGUUUUCAUUAA